GUGAGUCAUCGAAUCUUUGAACGCAUAUUGCGCCCUUUGGUAUUCCGAAGGGCAUGCCUGUUCGAGCGUCAUUAUCACCCCUCAAGCCCCCGGGCUUUGGUGUUGGACGGUUUGGUCUUGGGUGACGAGACCCCUCCUAAAAUUAACGACGGCGGCCUGUGCGACCCCCGGUACACUGAGCUUCUUAACUGAGCACGUAUCGGCCUAGACAGGACCCGGUCUUCUUCCUUAACCGGAAAAUCUCUCUCAAGGUUGACCUCGGAUCAGGUAGGGAUACCCGCUGAACUUAAGCAUAUCAAUAAGCGGAGGA
rnacentral:misc_RNA from 1 species